UAAUAAAAAGGAAUUGAAGGAAAGAAGUGCGAAAAUCACUCGCUGGUCCGCAGCCGUAAUAGCCGGAAUGCUUCAAUUGUCACAUACCUCGAGACAGGAAUUUGGGAGAAAAAUUAACAGUUUAAAUAAUUUU
rnacentral:ncRNA from 19 species